CCCCACUAGGCGAUCAGAUAGGCACAUCCUUAAAAACAAAAUACGGCAUGAUACAAUAUAUAUCACAUAAAAAUAUACUUAGGGCAUUGCCCUUAUUUAAAAAGAAAGUCCACCUCGUUCGCUAAAUAUUCUUAACUUGAAAAUUCUCACUUCGUCUUACUUGCUUGCGAAAGAAAACCCUUUUGAAAUAAAAUAAUAAACUCAUCAAACUCAAGAAAAUAUAUAAUUAAAUUAAAAUGCAUGUACCCUACGUGACUGCUCGUUUAAUUCUCUAACUCAUUCUAAAGGAAAUUUCUAAAUUCUCUUAUAUUAAACUCGGGUCAGCAUCCACACCAAAACUACUUAAUUCACUAGCAUAAACUGAUUUAGUUAACCCAUAAAACAAAAAUUUCCAAGCCAUCAAUAGAGAUACCCCACUCUGCCGACCCAAACUCAAAAUUAAAAAGCUGGCCCAAAGUAGAAAACACAUCUCAAAAUAUUUAAGGCCCAAUACUUAAAAAUAAUGGUCCAAACCUAUACUAAACUCUCGUCACCAUCAUCACCUACCAAACCAAAAGUAAAAAGAUGAAAGUAUGUUUCUAUUUUCUGCCUCCGUUUCUAUUUUCUCUUCUCAAUUUGAUGUCUCAAACGUCAAAACCGGAGCUACAAAUCCCAAAUUUAGAAGUACAGAUCAUGACUCCAACUUCCUCUCUCUUGGUCUCGAAAGCUUUCUCCGGCGAAAAUUGGCGCCACCUCACGUCCCUCCGUCGAAGACCAGCCGCUGCUUCUGCCAUCGACGCUACGCUACUGCCUCUGGCCGCCGUUAUUCGCUGCCGCUCCAGGCGGUCAGCUCUUCCGUCGGCAGCGUCUCGUCUCACAACCGGAAUUCAAGGCUGGGAAUUGAUCGGUGAUUACCUUCUUAGGCGGCGGAAAACUCUCUUCUCCAACUCGGUUCUUUCUCUAAAUUUUAGUUCCCUAUUUUUCUUGGUAUUGAAUUUAUGUGUAGAAAGAUUGUGGGAUUGAUUGGAAUAUAUAUUACUAUGGGUGUGUAUCUAUAAAGAUUGGAUAUAUAUGUCUCCAUGGAAAAGAUUUGAAUGGAAUAUUUGAGCAGAUUUGAGCA